AACAACAUAUAUAAGAACAAGAGUGCACACACUGAAAUGUCUCGCCUUCUUUACUAAUCAUUGAUAUUAUGUUGAUAGUCCUAAGUAUAAAGCGUUAUUACAACUGUCACAUAAACUUAACAUUAAACAAGAUAGUUAAACAAAGACCAAUGAACCAUGAAAAUGAGGUCAAGGUCAGAUGAACCAUGCCAGGCAGACAUGUAAAGCUAACAAUGCUUCCAUACAACAAAUAUAGUUGACCUAUUACUUAUAGUUUAAGAAAAAUAGACCAAAACACAAAAACUUAACACUGUCCAAUGAACCGUGCAAUUGAGGUCAUGGUCAAAUAAAACCUGUGGGACUGAUAUAUAGAUCAUAAUAUAUUUCCAUACACCAAAUAUAGUUGACCUUUGGCAUAUAAUAUUAAAUAAAAAGAUCAAAACUUAAAAACUUAACUUUGACCACUGAACCAUGAAAAUGAGGUCAAGGUCAAAUGACAUCUGCCCGCUAGACAUGUACACCUUACAAUCAUUCCAUACAACAAAUAUAGUAGACCUAUUGCAUAAAGUAUGAGAAAAACAGACCAAAAACACAAAAACUUAACUAUAACCACUGAACCAUGAAAAUGAGGUCAAGGUCAGAUGACACCUGCCAGUUGGACAUGUACACCUUCCAGUCCUUCCAUACAACAAAUAUACUAGCCCUAUUGCUUAUAGUAUCUGAGAUAUGGACUUGACCACCAAAACUUAACCUUGUUCACUGAUCCAUGAAAUGAGGUCGAGGUCAAGUGAAAACUGUCUGACGGGCAUGAGGACCUUGCAAGGUACGCACAUACCAAAUAUAGUUAUCCUAUUACUUAUAAUAAGAGAGAAUUCAACGUUACAAAAAUUCUGAACUUUUUUUUCAAGUGGUCACUGAACCAUGAAAAUGAGGUCAAGGACAUUGGACAUGUGACUGACGGAAACUUCGCAACAUGAGGCAUCUAUAUACAAAAUAUGAAGCAUCCAGGUCUUCCACCUUCUAAAAUAUAUAGCUUUUAAGAAGUGAGCUAACACCGCCGCCGCCGUAGCCGCCGCCGCCGGAUCACUAUCCCUAUGUCGAGCUUUCUGCAACAAAAGUUGCAGGCUCGACAAAAA
rnacentral:lncRNA from 1 species